rnacentral:rRNA from 1 species
UUGGGAGCGCUCCCAUAUGGUCGACCUGCAGGCGGCCGCGAAUUCACUAGUGAUUCGUAUUACCGCGGCUGCUGGCACAGAGUUAGCCGGUGCUUAUUCUGUCGGUAACGUCAAAACACUAACGUAUUAGGUUAAUGCCCUUCCUCCCAACUUAAAGUGCUUUACAAUCCGAAGACCUUCUUCACACACGCGGCAUGGCUGGAUCAGGCUUUCGCCCAUUGUCCAAUAUUCCCCACUGCUGCCUCCCGUAGGAGUCUGGACCGUGUCUCAGUUCCAGUGUGACUGAUCAUCCUCUCAGACCAGUUACGGAUCGUCGCCUUGGUGAGCCAUUACCCCACCAACUAGCUAAUCCGACCUAGGCUCAUCUGAUAGCGCAAGGCCCGAAGGUCCCCUGCUUUCUCCCGUAGGACGUAUGCGGUAUUAGCGUCCGUUUCCGAGCGUUAUCCCCCACUACCAGGCAGAUUCCUAGGCAUUACUCACCCGUCCGCCGCUCUCAAGAGGCGCAAGCACCUCUCUACCGCUCGACUUGCAUGUGUUAGGCCUCCCCCCAGCGUUCAAUCUGAGCCAUGAUCAAACUCUAAUCGAAUUCCCGCGGCCGCCAUGGCGGCCGGGAGCAUGCGACGUC